GGAAGCUGCAUUCUCCGGAAGGAGCACUC
rnacentral:sRNA from 1 species